rnacentral:rRNA from 1 species
GACGAACCACACAAACGUUAUUCGGAAUUACUGGGCUUAAAGGGUGCGUAGGCGGCGCGGAAAGUUGGGUGUGAAAUCCCUCGGCUCAACCGAGGAACUGCGCUCAAUACUACCGUGCUCGAGGGAGACAGAGGUGAGCGGAACUUAGGGUGGAGCGGUGAAAUGCGUUGAUAUCCUAAGGAACACCCGUGGCGAAAGCGGCAUGCUGGAUCUCUUCUGACGCUGAGGCGCGAAAGCUAGGGGAGCAAACGGG